CAGGGUGCCAACUACAAGCAUUUGCGAACAAGGAGCAUUGCCUCUUGGAAUAUCCUCCUAUCAUCCUACUCUUUCAUAGGGGAUGUUUCCAGAGUAGUCAAGUGCUAUAGGAAGAUGAGACUAGAGGUGACUCCUAGCAAUGAGACUCUAACUUUGUCCAUCUCUGCAUUCGCCAAGUGUGAGCAUCUCCCUGGUGGAAGAGAGUCAUGUUGCAUGAUGAAUGCCAAGUGAAGAGCAACACCAUAUGGAGCAUCAUGAUGUGGGGCCUUAUUCAGAAU